rnacentral:rRNA from 1 species
GUGGGGAAUUUUGGACAAUGGGGGCAACCCUGAUCCAGCCAUUCCGCGUGAGUGAAGAAGGCCUUCGGGUUGUAAAGCUCUUUCGUCAGGAACGAAACGGCGGGCUCUAACAUAGCCUGUUAAUGACGGUACCUGAAGAAGAAGCACCGGCUAACUACGUGCCAGCAGCCGCGGUAAUACGUAGGGUGCGAGCGUUAAUCGGAAUUACUGGGCGUAAAGCGUGCGCAGGCGGAUUGUUAAGCAAGACGUAAAAUCCCCGGGCUUAACCUGGGAAUGGCGUUUUGAACUGGCAGUCUAGAGUGCGUCAGAGGGGGGUGGAAUUCCACGUGUAGCAGUGAAAUGCGUAGAGAUGUGGAGGAACACCGAUGGCGAAGGCAGCCCCCUGGGAUGACACUGACGCUCAUGUACGAAAGCGUGGGUAGCAAACAGGAUUAGAUACCCGAGUAGUCC